CAAAGAGUAGUUUAAUUCAGAAUGCUGGCUUUGGGAGCGAGUGGUCGGGGUGUGAGUCCCUUCUCUUUGA